UUUUUAUUAAGAGUUUGAUCCUGGCUCAGGAUGAACGCUGGCGGCGUGCCUAACACAUGCAAGUCGAGCGAGAGAAAUUUUCAGAAGCCUUCGGGUGGAAGAAGAUGGAUCUAGCGGCGGACGGGUGAGUAACGC
rnacentral:rRNA from 1 species